rnacentral:lncRNA from 1 species
UCUCGGUCCCAGCUUUGAUGCCCCUGCACUGACCUCUCCUUCUGGAUGAUAGCGGGGUGAACAGGCAGUGACUCGGGUGGUUGAUGUCCUUGAUGAUCUUUUUGGCCUUCCUGUGACAUCGGGUGCUGUAGGUAUCCUGGAGGGCGGGUAGUUUGCCCCCGGUAAUGCGUUGGGCAGCCCUCUGGAGAGCCUUGCGGUUACGGGCGGUGCAGUUGCCAUACCUGGCGGUGAUAUGGCCCGACAGGAUGCUUUCAAUUGUGCAUCUGUACUACUAAGCUGUUCAGAGUGAGAUAAACAGGAUAACAGUCAGAAAUAUAGUAACUACUAAGUUGUUCAGAGUGAGAUGAACAGCACAGUCAGAACUAUAUCAAAUGAAAUUCAAAUCAAAUGUAUUUAUAUAGCCCUUCUUACAUCAGCUGAUAUCUCAAAGUGCUGUACAGAAACCCAGCCUAAAACCCCAAACAGCAAGCAAUUGUCAUGUCCUGACCAGUAGAGGGUGUAUUUGGGUCAGGACGUGGCAGAAGAGAAGUGUGUAGGUUGGUUUGUUUCGUUUAUUUUGGCCGUGUGGCUUCCAAUCAGGCACAGCUGUAGAGGGUUGUUGCUGAUUGGGAGUCACACAUAAGUAGUCUACUUUUCCUUUGGGGUUUGUGGGUAAUUGUUUCUGUUAGUGUUUGCACCUGACAGGACUGUUGUCUGUCGGUUUUCUCUUUUCUUGUUUUUUUAUAGUGUUCAAGUUGUUCAAUUAAAUAUGAAAUGAUGAACACUAACUCCGCUGCACCUUGGUCCACUCUCUCUUCAAACAGCCCUUACAGCAAUGCAGGUGUAGAAGCACGGUGGCUAGGAAAAACUCCCUAGAAAGGCCAAAACCUAGGAAGAAACCUAGAGAGGAACCAGGCUAUGAGGGGUGGCCAGUCCUCUUCUGGCUGUGCCGGGUGGAGAUUAUAACAGCACAUGGCCUAGAUGUUCAAAUGUUCAUAAAUGACCAGCAUGGUCAAAUAAUAAUAAUCAUAGUAGUUGUCGAGGGUGCAACAAGUCAGUAACACAAGAGUAAGUGUCAGUUGGCUUUUUCAUAGCCGAUCUUUGAGAGUAUCUCUACCGCUCCUGCUGUCUCUAGAGAGUUGAAAACAGCAGGUCUGGGACAGGUAGCACGUCCGGUGAAUAGGUCAGGGUUCCAGUAAGGUCUGGGACAGCAGGUCUGGGACAGGUAGCACGUCCAGUGAACAGGUUAGGGUUCCAUAGCUGCAGGCAGAACAGUUGGAACUGGAGCAGCAGCACGGCCAGGUGAACUGGGAACAGCAAGGAGUCAUCAAGCCAGGUAGUCCUGAGGCAUGGUCCUAGGGCUCAGGUCCUCCGAGAGAGAGAAAGAAAGAAAGAGAGAAAGAGAGAAUUAGAGAGAGCAUAUUUAAAUUCACACAGGACACCGGAAAAGACAAGAAAAAUACUCCAGAUGUGACAGACUGACCCUAGCCCCCCGACACAUAAACUACUGCAGCAUAAAUACUGGAGGCUGAGACAGGAGGGGUCAGGAGACACUGUGGCCCCAUCCGAUGAAACCCUCGGACAGGGCCAAACAUGUAGGAUAAAACCCCACCCACUUUGCCAAAGCACAGCCUCCAGACCACUGGAGGGAUAUCUCCAACCACCAACAUACCAUCCCGGGACAAGGCCGAGUAUAGCCCACAAAGAUAUCCGCCACGGCACAGCCCAAGGGGGGGCGCCAACCCAGACAGUAAGACCACGUCAGUGACUCAACCCACUCAAGUGACGCACCCCUCCCAGGGACGGCAUGGAAGAACACCAGUAAGCCAGUGACUCAGCCCCCGUAAUAGGGGUAGAGGCAGAUAAUCCCAGUGGAAAGAGGGGAAACCGGCCAGGCAGAGACAGCAAGGGCGGUUCGUUGCUCCAGCCUUUCCGUUCACCUUCACACCCCUGGGCCAGACUACACUUAAUCAUAGGACCUACUGAAGAGAUGUGUCUUCAGUAAAGACUUAAAGGUUGAGACUGAGUCUGCGUCUCUCACAUGGGUAGGCAGACUAUUCCAUAAAAAUUGAGCUCUAUAGGAGAAAGCCCUGCCUCCAGCUGUUUGCUUAGAAAUUCUAGGAACAAUUAGGAGGCCCGCGUCUUGUGACCGUAGCGUAUGUGUAGGUAUGUACGGCAGGACCAAAUAGGAAAGAUAGGUAGGAGCAAGCCCAUGUAAUGCUUUGUAGGUUAGCAGUAAAACCUUGAAAUCAGCCCUUGCCUUAACAGGAAGCCAGUGUAGGGAGGCUAGCACUGGAGUAAUAUGAUCAAAUUCUUUGGUUCUAGUCAGGAUUCUAGCAGCCGUAUUUAGCACUAACUGAUGUUUAUUUAGUGCUUUAUCCGGGUAGCCGGAAAGUAGAGCAUUGCAGUAGUCCAACCUAGAAGUAACAAAGGCAUGGAUACAUUUUUCUGCGUCAUUUUUGGACAGAAAGUUUCUGAUUUUUGCAAUGUUACGUAGAUGGAAAAAAGCUGUCCUUGAAACAGUCUUGAUAUGUUCUUCAAAAGAGAGAUCAAGGUCCAGAGUAACGCCGAGGUCCUUCGCAGUUUUAUUUGAGAUGACUGUACAACCAUCCAGAUUAAUUGUCAGAUUCAACAGAAGAUCUCUUUGUUUCUUGGGACCUAGAACAAGCAUCUCUGUUUUGUCCGAGUUUAAAAGUAGAGAGUUUGCAGCCAUUCACUUCCUUAUGUCUGAGACACAGGCUUCUAGCGAGGGCAAUUUUGGGGCUUCACCAUGUUUCAUUGAAAUGUACAGCUGUGUGUCAUCCGCAUAGCAGUGAAAUUUAACAUUAUGUUUUCGAAUGACAUCCCCAAGAGGUAAAAUAUAUAGUGAAAACAAUAGUGGUCCUAAAACGGAACCUUGAGGAACACCGAAAUUUACAGUUGAUUUCUCAGAGGACAAACCAUUCACAGAGACAAACUGAUAUCUUUCCGACAGAUAAGACCUAAACCAGGCCAGAACUUGUCCAUGUAGACCAAUUUGGGUUUCCAAUCUCUCCAAAAGAAUGUGGUGAUCGAUGGUAUCAAAAGCAGCACUAAGAUCUAGGAGCACGAGGACAGACGCAGAGCCUCGGUCUGACGUCAUUAAAAGGUCAUUUACCACCUUCACAAGUGCAGUCUCAGUGCUAUGAUGGGGUCUAAAACCAGACUGAAGCGUUUCGUAUACAUUGUUUGUCUUCAGGAAGGCAGAGAGUUGCUGCGUAACAGCUUUUUCUAAAAAUGUUGAGAGGAAUGGAAGAUUCGAUAUAGGCCGAUAGUUUUUUAUAAUUUCUGGGUCAAGAUUUGGCUUUUUCAAGAGAGGCUUUAUUACUGCCACUUUUAGUGAGUUUGGUACACAUCCGGUGGAUAGAGAGCCUUUUAUUAUGUUCAACAUAGGAGGGCCAAGCACAGAAAGCAGCUCUUUCAGUAGUUUAGUUGGAAUAGGGUCCAGUAUGCAGC